GCUUUGUGGGCUCAGUGGCAGAGCAUAUGCUUAGCAUGCAUGAGGCCUGAGGUUCAAUCCUCAGCAUACCA
rnacentral:tRNA from 1 species